UUCAGGCAUGUUGCGCGAUGGAAUGAGGAGAAAUAGCAAGCCUGGGGCGUCACGUUCUCAUUCCCUGCACAAACAGCGAAAGACAGCAGGCUCCCGGUCUGCUUUCAUCAAGCUCCGCCUGUAGCCCCGUAAAAAUCGGCGAGAGACGGAGGGGAGCGUUUGGUGCGCUCUUCCUUCUUCGGCUUUCUGCUCAUAUUAUCCCCUUCGGCACCGGUCUCCUUGAGCCACGAAGGACAAAGGCUAGCAACUAUUGACGGCAGCCCGGGGAGCUGCACUUUUCAUCCUAUUUUAUUUGGGUUUCGCGCGGCGCUUUAUGUGUGCUUCCGGCACCGCUUUUCACCGCCGGCGGUAGGGUCGCGCUGAAACAUCUGAGAGUCUGCUUGUGGACGCGAUACAUGCAGUUGGCCAACUUGAUAGGCAUUCCAGCCCUAGUCAGUUGGAUAUACAAUUUCAGGGCUUCCCAUCAGCCUUCAGAUCAUGACAAAGUGAUGGAAAGAAGCACUGCUAUUCCAGAUAGGCUUGAAGCUGGAGCAAUUUCAUGACACACCGGCAAAACCAAUAAUUUACUAUGAUAUUCUGGAAUAAUACAGCCAGCUUCAGAAUUCCUUAACAGUUCCAGUUCCAGUUGAGUUGUCUGUUUAGAGUAUGAAUGGCUUAAAGGCAGGAAAGUUAGAAAUGUUUUCUGGUCAGGCACCAGCUCCCAUUAAAAACUGCUGAGAAAAUUAAAUUGAAAUGAAAUCACUUAUUAAAAGAUAUACAGCAUUGUAGGUGUCUGCAGAGAUUACAGUUUGUACUGAUACCACUUGCUUAUAAACAUCCAGAUGCUGCAGAUUCUUGGGAUGGAACAAAUUCUAUUCAGAUACCUCAGUGCACAGUCUCUGUUUGGAGGUGCUUUGAAUAUGUGAUGUUUGCAUUCAGCAUGUAUGGUAUGGUAUGGUAUAGUAUAUAGCAUAGCAUUCUUGGUAUUUUUCUUGCAUGGAAAAUAGACACUGUUAAAAAGGGUGACAUGCAUGUAGAGUUUAAAAAAGACAACCACCCAACUUUGACAGAGGCCUAACCAAAUAUAUCUUCUGGUGAUAUCACCCAGUUGUAUUUCUCUACAGUUCAGUAGAAUGUUAAUUUCCUAUGUCAAAAUGAAAGCUAAUUACUUUACCAGUGCCAGAAAGCAAUUGCUUCAGAAAAUAUGAGGAUGGAAGAUACUGAUCAAUGUAUGUGAAAUACAUUCCCUCUGACAUUAAUACAAUAUGCCAUUUCUUCUCCUGGCCAUGUGAAUGUGCACGUUUCGAGGAUUGGCCUGGCAGUUUUCCAAAGAUUAAUAUUCUAAACUUAAAGUUUGGGUGUGCCUCAGAAUAGUGUUUAAUAAACCAUUGGAAUUAAUAUAGACAUCAUUCUGAACCAAGCUAGCCUUAGGGCAAAGAAUACUGAAGAUGUAAGAAUUUUUUCAGAAAUAAUCUUAGGAUAGUUACAGGCAUUGUGAUAAUAGUCACCAUAUUAGAUUGGUUGACUUUUGGUGUUGAAGUUAUCAGUAGAAUGAAAUGGGAGAGUUCCAACCCUGGGCUUGGGUCUGGGCCAGUGCAGUUUGAGAACCAUGGUUCUCAAUAAAAGUUUACACUGAAUAGAAAAGGGCAUUUUUUCAACCCUUAUACUAUAGGCUGUGUUUAAUGGGCAGCGGGAGAGAGUGUUUACAGAUUGUGUAGGUUUGUUUUGGGUUUAGGAGCAGUAGUCUUGAAUUAACGUUAAAUUGAACAAUCUGAGGGAGUAAACCUCUAUAAGCAAGUAUCCAUUCUCCUUUAUCCAUUCUUCUGUAAAUGUUCAACAGUUUGUGACUAUUACAUUUACAAUUCUCCCUGAUAAUGAAUGGUGUGAGCACACAUAUUGCUGAAUUUGUACGAGAGUAAAUCUGGUUUCCUGUAAAAGCCUCUCUCUUCUCAAACCUACAUAAAUUAUUCUGAUAUACAGUAGAUAUAAAGCCCCCAGUACACUUAUUCAAUAUUUAUCUUUGCAAAAACUAUCAAAAUCAAGCUAUGUCACAGAAUAAUGUACAGGUAGUCCUCACUUAACAACCAUUCAUUUAAUGACAGUUCAAAGUU